CUUUCUUGGACCAAUGAAACUACUUCUAUCCUCAGCUCCACGAUCUAGUCUAUAAAAGCGUUAUUGCUUCUUUAAUAAAGGGCUUUUCUGCAUGAAACUACUUCUAUCCUCAGCUCCACGAUCCAGUGUAUAAAAGUGUUAUUGCUUCUUUAAUAAAGGGCUUUUCUGCAGAUUCUGGGGGAAGUCAUGUUGCUAUAUUCUUUUCACUGCAUCCUAGCCCGAUAGCAACACUGGCCCAUGUGAUGGGAAACAAUUCUGGUGGCAUGGGAGGACAACACUAUGGCCACAGACUCUGCCUUCCACAGGUGCAGCUGGAGAGAUGAGCAAGUUUGGUCACUGAGAAAAGCAGUGAAAAUCAGCGGAACAAGACGGAUCCCUGUGCAAGCCCAUGCCAUGCAUCCUUCCAUUCCUGACAGUGAACCACUACUAACUUCUCUCCAAGUAUAGUUUUCUACUGACCACACAGGUAUUUCAUGAAAGCUAUGUUUUCCUAUCUUGUUUUUAAGAUUAUCAAGUGAAGUAAGUUUGCU
rnacentral:lncRNA from 12 species